rnacentral:snRNA from 1 species
AUCGCUUCUUGGUCUUUUGGCUAAGAUCAAGUGUAGUAUCUAUUCUUACCAGUUUAAUUUGAUUGUGCUUGUCUCUGCUUCUUCUGCCUUUU